UGACAAGAUGGGCAUUGCUUAAUAUAGU
rnacentral:sRNA from 1 species